AGAGUUUGAUCCUGGCUCAGGACGAACGCUGGCGGCACGCUUAACACAUGCAAGUCGAACGAGAGAAGAGGAGCUUGCUUUUCUGAUCUAGUGGCGGACGGGUGAGUAACACGUGAGCAAUCUGCCUUUCAGAGGGGGAUACCGAUUGGAAACGAUCGUUAAUACCGCAUAACAUAAUUGAACCGCAUGAUUUGAUUAUCAAAGAUUUAUCGCUGAAAGAUGAGCUCGCGUCUGAUUAGCUAGUUGGUAAGGUAACGGCUUACCAAGGCGACGAUCAGUAGCCGGACUGAGAGGUUGAUCGGCCACAUUGGGACUGAGACACGGCCCAGACUCCUACGGGAGGCAGCAGUGGGGAAUAUUGCACAAUGGAGGAAACUCUGAUGCAGCGAUGCCGCGUGAGGGAAGAAGGUUUUAGGAUUGUAAACCUCUGUCUUCAGGGACGAAAAAAGACGGUACCUGAGGAGGAAGCUCCGGCUAACUACGUGCCAGCAGCCGCGGUAAUACGUAGGGAGCGAGCGUUGUCCGGAAUUACUGGGUGUAAAGGGAGCGUAGGCGGGAUCGCAAGUCAGAUGUGAAAACUAUGGGCUUAACCCAUAAACUGCAUUUGAAACUGAGGUUCUUGAGUGAAGUAGAGGUAAGCGGAAUUCCUAGUGUAGCGGUGAAAUGCGUAGAUAUUAGGAGGAACAUCUGUGGCGAAGGCGGCUUACUGGGCUUUAACUGACGCUGAGGCUCGAAAGCGUGGGGAGCAAACAGGAUUAGAUACCCUGGUAGUCCACGCCGUAAACGAUGAUUACUAGGUGUGGGGGGACUGACCCCUUCCGUGCCGCAGCAAACGCAAUAAGUAAUCCACCUGGGGAGUACGACCGCAAGGUUGAAACUCAAAGGAAUUGACGGGGGCCCGCACAAGCAGUGGAGUAUGUGGAUUAAUUCGAAGCAACGCGAAGAACCUUACCAGGUCUUGACAUCGUAUGCAUAGCUCAGAGAUGAGUGAAAUCUCUUCGGAGACAUAUAGACAGGUGGUGCAUGGUUGUCGUCAGCUCGUGUCGUGAGAUAUUGGGUUAAGUCCCGCAACGAGCGCAACCCUUACUGUUAGUUGCUACGCAAGAGCACUCUAGCAGGACUGCCGUUGACAAAACGGAGGAAGGUGGGGAUGACGUCAAAUCAUCAUGCCCCUUAUGACCUGGGCCUCACACGUACUACAAUGGCUGUCAACAGAGGGAAGCAAAGCCGCGAGGUGGAGCGAACCCCUAAAAGCAGUCUUAGUUCGGAUUGUAGGCUGCAACCCGCCUACAUGAAGUCGGAAUUGCUAGUAAUCGCAGGUCAGCAUGCUGCGGUGAAUACGUUCCCGGGCCUUGUACACACCGCCCGUCACGCCAUGGGAGUCGGUAACACCCGAAGCCUGUAGUCUAACCGCAAGGAGGACGCAGUCGAAGGUGGGAUUGAUGACUGGGGUGAAGUCGGAACAAGGUA
rnacentral:rRNA from 1 species